AUCCUUUUGCAGUUCAUAAGCAUGAUGAUUGGGUUUUCACACGGAUAUGAGAUGUGCUUCCCUCAAACCUUGUUAUGACAUGGGCACAUUACCCAUCUGACA
ensembl:snoRNA